rnacentral:rRNA from 1 species
UACGAAGGGGGCUAGCGUUGCUCGGAAUCACUGGGCGUAAAGGGUGCGUAGGCGGGUUCUUAAGUCAGAGGUGAAAUCCUGGAGCUCAACUCCAGAACUGCCUUUGAUACUGAGAGUCUUGAGUUCGGGAGAGGUGAGUGGAACUGCGAGUGUAGAGGUGAAAUUCGUAGAUAUUCGCAAGAACACCAGUGGCGAAGGCGGCUCACUGGUCCGGUUCUGACGCUGAGGCGCGAAAGCGUGGGGAGCAAACAGG